UGGGGAAUAUUGGACAAUGGGCGAAAGCCUGAUCCAGCCACGCCGCGUGUGUGAUGAAGGCCUUCGGGUCGUAAAGCACUGUGGGGAGGGAAGAACGCAAUGACGGUACCUCCUUAGCAAGCACCGGCUAACUCCGUGCCAGCAGCCGCGGUAAUACGGAGGGUGCAAACGUUGCUCGGAAUCAUUGGGCGUAAAGCGCACGUAGGCGGUCAGGUGUGUCGGAUGUGAAAGCCCUCGGCUCAACCGAGGAAGUGCAUCCGAAACUACCUGGCUUGAGUACGGGAGGGGGUAGCGGAAUUCCCGGUGUAGAGGUGAAAUUCGUAGAUAUCGGGAGGAACACCAGUGGCGAAGGCGGCUACCUGGACCGAUACUGACGCUGAGGUGCGAAAGCGUGGGGAGCAAACA
rnacentral:rRNA from 1 species